rnacentral:snRNA from 1 species
GCCUCGCUCGCAACGACCAA